rnacentral:lncRNA from 1 species
GGCUUUGGUUUAGGUGGGUAUGAAAUUGGAAACAAAGGUUUUUGGUUCAGAGUACAUGAAAUCAUUCUCUCACUACGUUUCUUUCCUAUUCUUCCUGUUGGGUUUGUAUUCCUCUUUUCCUUUUAUCUAUAGUGAAUGUAGCAUUUUUCAAAAGCUGUUCUUUUAUUGUUUUUCGCUUUUCUCUUUCUUUCUUUUUUUUUUCUUUUUUUUUUAUUUUUUUUUUUACUACAUUCACUUACUGCAAAGCUACCCCAAACUUAAAGGUUGCUAU